AUGAACGCUAGCGACAGGCCUAACACAUGCAAGUCGAGGGGCAGCACAAGGAGCAAUCUGAGGUGGCGACCGGCGCACGGGUGAGUAACACGUAUGCAACCUGCCUGUAAGCGGGGAAUAACCCGUUGAAAGACGGAUUAAUACCGCAUAAUACUAAAUUACUGCAUGGUAAUUUAUUUAAACAUUUAUGGCUUACAGAUGGGCAUGCGCAUGAUUAGCUAGUUGGAGAGGUAACGGCUCCCCAAGGCAACGAUCAUUAGGGGUUCUGAGAGGAAGGUCCCCCACACUGGUACUGAGACACGGACCAGACUCCUACGGGAGGCAGCAGUGAGGAAUAUUGGUCAAUGGACGAGAGUCUGAACCAGCCAAGUCGCGUGCAGGAAGAAUGUUCCCUAUGGAUUGUAAACUGCUUUUGCAGGGGAAUAAAGUGCAUCACGUGUGAUGUUUUGUAUGUACUCUGCGAAUAAGGAUCGGCUAACUCCGUGCCAGCAGCGGC
rnacentral:rRNA from 1 species